rnacentral:rRNA from 1 species
CAGCAGCCGCGGGAAUACAGAGGAUGCAAGCGUUAUUCGGAAUGAUUGGGCGUAAAGCGUCUGUAGGUGGCUUUUCAAGUCCGCCGUCAAAUCCCAGGGCUCAACCUGGGAAUUGCAGUGGAUACUGGGUCACUAGAGUGUGGUAGAGGAUAGUGGAAUUUCCGGUGUAGCAGUGAAAUGCGUAGAGAUCGGAAGGAACAUCUGUGGCGAAGGCGACUAUCUGGGCCAACACUGACACUGAGGCACGAAAGCGUGGGGAGCAAACAGGAUUAGAUACCCCUGUAGUCCCUGUCUCUUAUAC